rnacentral:rRNA from 1 species
AACGAACGCUGGCGGCAGGCCUAAAACAUGCAAGUCGAACGGGUGUAGCAAUACAUCAGUGGCGCACGGGUGAGUAACGCGUGGGAACGUGCCCUUCAGUACGGGACAACGUCGGGAAACUGACGCUAAUACCGUAUAAUAUCUCCGGAUCAAAGAUUUAUCGCUGAGGGAGCGGCCCGCGUCUGAUUAGCUAGUUGGUGAGGUAAUGGCUCACCAAGGCUACGAUCAGUAGCAGGUCAGAGAGGAUGAUCUGCCACACUGGGACUGAGACACGGCCCAGACUCCUACGGGAGGCAGCAGUUAGGAAUAUUGGACAAUGGGGGAAACCCUGAUCCAGCCAUGCCGCGUGUGUGAUGAAGGCCCUAGGGUUGUAAAGCACUUUCGUUGGGGAUGAUAAUGACCGUACCCAAAGAAGAAGCCACGGCUAAAUUCGUGCCAGCCGCCGCCGUAA